GUAAGAAGAGAUCUCCACCCUUGG
rnacentral:miRNA from 1 species